UACGAGAGGCCCAAAACGUUAUUCGGAAUUACUGGGCUUAAAGAGUUCGUAGGCGGCGCGAGAAAGUAGGGUCGUGAAAGCCCUCGGCUCAACCGAAGGAAUUGCGCUCUAAACGUACUGUGCUUGAGGAAGCUAGAGGUGAGCAGAACAGAUGGUGGAGCGGUGAAAUGCGUUGAUAUCAAUCUGGAAUACCGGAGGGCGU
rnacentral:rRNA from 1 species